rnacentral:tRNA from 1 species
GGGCCUGUAGCUCAGUUGGUUAGAGCGCACGCCUGAUAAGCGUGAGGUCGGAAGUUCAAUUCUUCCCAGGCCCACCA